UUUCUUUCUGAGGCUUUUGGAAACUCAUGAAGAUUAGCCUCUAUUCUCACCUUCAAUUUUCUUGGUUGUCAAAAAUUCUACUUUGUGAUUUUGUUCUCUUUUGUUUUGCUUGGUAUUUUGAUUCAUACACUUUAUUGCUUCCAAAUUAAUUUCUUUUUAUAUAACACUAUUCUCAAAAUCUUAUUUCCUUAAAAAUCCAUUUCAAAAAUUCAUUUAGAGUUCUUAGAAUCAAAAUCUCAUUUUUUUUUAAAUAAUGUGCAACCAUGUUUUGAUCGGUUCACAUCUUUCAAAUAAAAUUACAGUUUUGAAUAAAACACGAAUCAAAGCUUGUGGUCCCAAACAAAUGGGAUAAUUCUAAGCUAAAUUC
rnacentral:lncRNA from 1 species